GAGCUUGCUCUCUGGGUGACGAGCGGCGGACGGGUGAGUAAUGUCUGGGAAACUGCCCGAUGGAGGGGGAUAACUACUGGAAACGGUAGCUAAUACCGCAUAACGUCUUCGGACCAAAGAGGGGGACCUUCGGGCCUCUUGCCAUCGGAUGUGCCCAGAUGGGAUUAGCUAGUAGGUGGGGUAAUGGCUCACCUAGGCGACGAUCCCUAGCUGGUCUGAGAGGAUGACCAGCCACACUGGAACUGAGACACGGUCCAGACUCCUACGGGAGGCAGCAGUGGGGAAUAUUGCACAAUGGGCGCAAGCCUGAUGCAGCCAUGCCGCGUGUAUGAAGAAGGCCUUCGGGUUGUAAAGUACUUUCAGCGAGGAGGAAGGCAUUGUGGUUAAUAACCGCAGUGAUUGACGUUACUCGCAGAAGAAGCACCGGCUAACUCCGUGCCAGCAGCCGCGGUAAUACGGAGGGUGCAAGCGUUAAUCGGAAUUACUGGGCGUAAAGCGCACGCAGGCGGUCUGUCAAGUCGGAUGUGAAAUCCCCGGGCUCAACCUGGGAACUGCAUUCGAAACUGGCAGGCUAGAGUCUUGUAGAGGGGGGUAGAAUUCCAGGUGUAGCGGUGAAAUGCGUAGAGAUCUGGAGGAAUACCGGUGGCGAAGGCGGCCCCCUGGACAAAGACUGACGCUC
rnacentral:rRNA from 1 species